AUUCCAGCUCCAAUAGCGUAUAUUAAAGUUGUUGCAGUUAAAAAGCUCGUAGUUGGAUUUCCGGCGUGAGGGAUCAGUCUGACUUCUAGUCAGUACUUGGUCCUCUCAUGCCGUCCUUGAAUGGUGCAUCCUGGCAUUAAGUUGUCGGGGUGAGAGCCGUUCAUCGUUUACUGUGAGAAAAUUAGAGUGUUCAAAGCAGGCUUAUGCCGUUGAAUAUAUUAGCAUGGAAUAAUAAGACAGGACUUUGGUACUAUUUUGUUGGUUUGAGAACCAAGGUAAUGAUCAAUAGGGACAGUUGGGGGUAUUCGUAUUCAGUUGUCAGAGGUGAAAUUCUUAGAUUUCCGGAAGACGAACUACUGCGAAAGCAUUUACCAAGGAUGUUUUCAUUG
rnacentral:rRNA from 1 species